rnacentral:rRNA from 1 species
UACGUAGGUGACAAGCGUUGUCCGGAUUUACUGGGCGUAAAGAGCGCGCAGGCGGUCGUUUAAGUCGAGUGUGAAAGCCCCCGGCUCAACUGGGGAGGGUCAUUCGAUACUGAUCGACUCGAAGGCAGGAGAGGGUAGUGGAAUUUACGGUGUAGCGGUGAAAUGCGUAGAUAUCGUAAGGAAGACCAGUGGCGAAGGCGGGUCUCUGGACAGUGCCUGACGCUGAGGCACGAAGGCCAGGGGAGCAAACGGG